GAAUUUCAGUUGAGAUUUUCAGAGGAAUUCUUAUUUAAUGUCAUCAUAUGAUUUUCUCAUCACUAGGUUGGAGAAGUUCAGUGCCCAGUUCUGCAGUACUGCCUUGGAGCUGCCUCCUUUUGAGUUUUGUGCCUUGUUUCUCGGGGAGCCUAUCAACAGAGUGGAUUUAACUUGGUGUUCCAGGCUGUGUAACGGGAUUGUUCUUCCCAAGCCGUUGGGUUGUUCUUGCAGGCUGCAGGCGGAAGGAAGCGUUGCUCUUUUCCAGUCAUCUAAAAGCAUCUGAAAAAGCAAAGAGUGACCUCGCUUCCCUGGCUGUACCUGCCGCCGCACGAUGUUUGGGGAAGCUGCUCCCGGGGAAUGUUCCAGCUGCAGACGCCUGAGCUGUGCCUGUUCAUUACUGCUCACGGGAGAACAGCAGCACCGGCCAGGAACGGCUGCCAGGGAGCCGCCAGAGACACGAAAUCCCUACCUUGAAUUUAUCUAGCUGCCAAAAACUGGCCCUGACUGGGGCAGGCCAUGGGUCACUCCCCCAUUUUGUGUCAGGCUCUGGAGUCAUUCCACCAUUUUGUGUGAGGUUCUGCUGUCACUCCGCCAUUUUGUGUGAGGUUCUGGGGUCACUCCGCCAUUUUGUGUGAGGUUCUGGGGUCACUCCGCCAUUUUGUGUGAGGUUCUGCAGUCACUCUGCCAUUUUGUGUGAGGUUCUGCAGUCACUCCGCCAUUGUUUCAGGCCAUGGGUCACUCUGUUACUUUUUGUAUGGACAGAGGCUGAGUAAGGCUCAAGGGGUGAGGUGUUUCAUAAGAAUUAGAACAUCCCAGAGAUGCUUCUCCGGCUUCUUUUGGCACACCGCGCCCCCAUGUUUUUGCUCCAAAGUGAUCUAACAUUAUUUAUAAGCGUGUUGUUCUACAGCUCCCGUAACUUUUGGACUUGAAUCUUGGUAUGUGAACAGUGAAUAAUAUGGCCUAGAAACUGAAGUAGGGUCCAUAAGCUCCUGGGAACCUGCACAGGGAUGUUUGGGCACUGGGGAAUUGUACCCUUCGUGUUGUGAGCUGUCGAUAAUGGAUAAGAUCAGACAACUGUUCCUGGGAGGAAGGGAGAGGAAAGAUGAUCACCCUGGACCUGGAAUUCUGAGGACUUCUGUGCUUCUGCUACAUUUUUCAAGCUCUUCUACUUAACUAAUGCAGUAUUAGCAUAUUUAGAACUGAUGCUGAGUAAAACAGAAAUAUGGUAGAAGUCCACUAAAACCUUGCAAUUUCCCUUUCCUGAUUUGAGUCUAGUUUUGUUGCAGGAAGGAU
rnacentral:lncRNA from 1 species